UACAGAGGGUGCGAGCGUUAAUCGGAAUUACUGGGCGUAAAGCGCGCGUAGGCGGCUUUGCAAGUCGGGUGUGAAAUCCCCAGGCUUAACCUGGGAACUGCAUUCGAGACUGCAUUGCUAGAGUAUGGGAGAGGGAAGUGGAAUUCCGGUGUAGCGGUGAAAUGCGUAGAUAAUCGGAAGGAACAUCAGUGGCGAAGCGACUUCCUGGACCAAUACUGACGCUCAUGUGCGAAAGCGUGGGAGCGAACAGG
rnacentral:rRNA from 1 species